CUAAAUCAUAAAAUUCACCGGCAAUUGUGCAGUUUAGAUCCACCUUUGUGUACGAUAUACCUGAUGGAUAUUUGGUGGAUAUUUUGUCGAGGACAAAAUCUGUUCGAUGUCAUUGUCUUCGAAUGUUUUCCUUCACGAUGUGUUUAUUUUAUUUUUUAUUUUUAUGGAGCGUUAAAAGUGUAAUUCAGC